GAUGAACGCUGGCGGCGUGCCUAAUACAUGCAAGUAGAACGCUGAAGCUUGGUGCUUGCACCGAGCGGAUGAGUUGCGAACGGGUGAGUAACGCGUAGGUAACCUGCCUGGUAGCGGGGGAUAACUAUUGGAAACGAUAGCUAAUACCGCAUAAAAGUCGAUAUCGCAUGAUGUUGACUUGAAAGGUGCAAUUGCAUCACUAAGAGAUGGACCUGCGUUGUAUUAGCUAGUUGGUGAGGUAACGGCUCACCAAGGCGACGAUACAUAGCCGACCUGAGAGGGUGAUCGGCCACACUGGGACUGAGACACGGCCCAGACUCCUACGGGAGGCAGCAGUAGGGAAUCUUCGGCAAUGGGGGCAACCCUGACCGAGCAACGCCGCGUGAGUGAAGAAGGUUUUCGGAUCGUAAAGCUCUGUUGUAAGAGAAGAACGAGUGUGAGAGUGGAAAGUUCACACUGUGACGGAACUACCAGAAAGGACG
rnacentral:rRNA from 1 species